rnacentral:rRNA from 1 species
ACCUGGGAACUGCAUCUGAUACUGGCAAGCUUGAGUCUCGUAGAGGGGGGUAGAAUUCCAGGUGUAGCGGUGAAAUGCGUAGAGAUCUGGAGGAAUACCGGUGGCGAAGGCGGCCCCCUGGACGAAGACUGACGCUCAGGUGCGAAAGCGUGGGGAGCAAACAGGAUUAGAUACCCUGGUAGUCCACGCCGUAAACGAUGUCGACUUGGAGGUUGUGCCCUUGAGGCGUGGCUUCCGGAGCUAACGCGUUAAGUCGACCGCCUGGGGAGUACGGCCGAAAGGUUAAAACUCAAAUGAAUUGACGGGGGCCCGCACAA